rnacentral:rRNA from 1 species
GUACGCUGGCGGCACGCCUAAUACAUGCAAGUCGAACGAAGUAGCAAUACUUAGUGGCAGACGGGUGAGUAACAUGUAGGUAUCUUCCCUUUGGUGAGGAAUAACACGAGGAAACUUGUGCUAAUACCUCAUAAGUCUUUACGGAGAAAGCUUUAUGCGCCAUUGGAUGAGCCUGCACUUGAUUAGUUUGUUGGUGGGGUAAUGGCCUACCAAGACAAUGAUCAAUAGCUGAUUUGAGAGGAUGAUCAGCCACAUUGGGACUGAGACACGGCCCAAACUCCUACGGGAGGCAGCAGUAGGGAAUCUUGCACAAUGGGGGAAACCCUGAUGCAGCGAUGCCGCGUGAGUGAAGAAGGCCUUUGGGUUGUAAAGCUCUUUCGUCGGGGAAGAAAAUGACUGUACCCGAAUAAGAAGGUCCGGC